UACGGGAGGCAGCAGUGGGGAAUAUUGCACAAUGGGCGCAAGCCUGAUGCAGCCAUGCCGCGUGUAUGAAGAAGGCCUUCGGGUUGUAAAGUACUUUCAGUCGUGAGGAAGGUGUUAAGGUUAAUAACCUUAGCAAUUGACGUUAGCGACAGAAGAAGCACCGGCUAACUCCGUGCCAGCAGCCGCGGUAAUACGGAGGGUGCGAGCGUUAAUCGGAAUUACUGGGCGUAAAGGGCACGCAGGCGGUUAAUUAAGUUGGAUGUGAAAUCCCCGGGCUUAACCUGGGAAUGGCAUUCAAGACUGGUUAGCUAGAGUCUUGUAGAGGGGGUAGAAUUCCAUGUGUAGCGGUGAAAUGCGUAGAGAUGUGGAGGAAUACCGGUGGCGAAGGCGGCCCCUGGGACAAGACUGACGCUCAUGUGCGAAAGCGUGGGGAGCAAAC
rnacentral:rRNA from 1 species